rnacentral:rRNA from 1 species
AUUGAACGCUGGCGGAAUGCUUUACACAUACAAGUCGAACGGCAGCACGGACUUCGGUCUGGUGGCGAGUGGCGAACGGGUGAGUAAUGUAUCGGAACGUGCCCAGUCGUGGGGGAUAACGUAGUGAAAAUUACGCUAAUACCGCAUACGAUCUAUGGAUGAAAGCGGGGGAUCGCAAGACCUCGCGCGAUUGGAGCGGCCGAUAUCAGAUUAGGUAGUUGGUGGGGUAAAGGCCCACCAAGCCAACGAUCUGUAGCUGGUCUGAGAGGACGACCAGCCACACUGGAACUGAGACACGGUCCAGACUCCUACGGGAGGCAGCAGUGGGGAAUUUUGGACAAUGGGCGAAAGCCUGAUCCAGCCAUUCCGCGUGCAGGAUGAAGGCCCUCGGGUUGUAAACUGCUUUUGUACAGAACGAAAAGGUUUCUACUAAUACUAGGAGCUCAUGACGGUACUGUAAGAAUAACCACCGGCUAACUACGUGCCAGCCGCCGCUGUAA